rnacentral:rRNA from 1 species
UACAGAGGUCUCAAGCGUUGUUCGGAUUCAUUGGGCGUAAAGGGUGCGUAGGUGGGCUGGUAAGUCAGUGGUGAAAUCUCCAGGCUUAACUUGGAAACUGCCAUUGAUACUAUCAGUCUUGAAUACCGUGGAGGUCAGCGGAAUAUGUCAUGUAGCGGUGAAAUGCUUAGAUAUGACAUAGAACACCAAUUGCGAAGGCAGCUGGCUACACGAAUAUUGACACUGAUGCACGAAAGCGUGGGGAUCAAACAGG